rnacentral:lncRNA from 1 species
UUUUAGUACUACCCGGGUGGACUGACAUUCGACCACUAUGAGCCUCAUUCAAAAUCAUCGAAAUAAGUUCCGAAUUUCUUGGAACACAUAAUCGACCUCUGAACGUCAAGCAAUCAUUGUCGUCAAUCCGGAACUCCGAUUCCUUAUUCGAAGCACAUUCAGCUCGUUUAGUGACCAAUUCAGCAUCGACUUUCUGGGAUUCAAG